AGUUUUGGAGUUCUGCCUUUAGAGUCCCAUAUGUGGCUGUGCAGAGACUGUGUGGAUCUUCUCACACAUCCAUAUCAAAGCUUUUAAAACACUUCAGAAUUACAACAAUCCCUUUGGUGUCCAAUGGGCCAGCUUGAUAAUUUCUCAACCCAGCUCCUCAAAAUUGUCAAAAAAAGGAGGAGCAGCGUCACAGAAGAUCACAAACAUCCUGUCAGUUAUGGAUCAGCAUGCCACUAUUGGGAAAAAAGGGAAUGCAUCCUGAAAUCCCUGGCAGAUCUUCUUAAUGAAGAGCCCUCAAACCUCGUGAAGGAGUAUAUGGUAAGUUACAUACUUUUUUUUGUUUUAAAUCCAUUGUAUGUUUCUGUAAAACCAGCUCCUUCUUUCACUCUUGAUCUGUUAGUAAUUGUUUCUUUUUAUACUUGACAUUUUUAGGAUGUUGAACAUGAAGAUGCCCUAACCUAAAUGUGCAACACCACCCUUGGAAUCCAUGUAAUUGUACAUAAAGGGGCAGAUGCUACAGACCCUUAUGAAGACAUUGGGAUCAUUACUGAAGGCAUCCGUAUACUUCAAAAUCUAAAUAAUGUGCCAAAUGCGUGCUCUGUGCUGCUUGGUGUAAUUUACGCAUUGAACUUGUUUUCUCCAUAGUGUUGCACUGUUGGCUACUGCAGUACAUUUGUUUCAUUAUUGCCCAUGUCAUAUUCCUUUUAAAUUGGUCUUGCUUUAAAUAACAGAUGCAUUUUUUUCAGUUUCAAGGAGGCACAUAUUACAAAUGAAGACUGACAUUUUUUUCCCUAAGUGUAAUACUUGCAUGUGAGUAUUUUGUAAAUCCUUUUGAAGGCAGCAUACUUUUUAUUUUUACUUCUUUUCUUGUAUUAAGUGAAGAACUUUGAUUUUAAAAAAGAAGCAUUUGUACAAAUUCUUGUUGGAGAAAUUUGUAAAAUUUGUAAUGUUUUGAAUGGACAUUGAAUAAACUCAAUGAAACUUGAUUGUUUUUAUUGAAG
ensembl:lncRNA